GAGGCGUCCAGUGCAGUAACACGACUGAUCCCGGAGAAGCUGGUGGGAGCCUCGCCGAGAGUUCUCUUUUCUUUGUGAAGGGCAGUGCGCCCUGGAAUGGGUUCACCCCAAGAGAGGGGCCCAAGCCCUGGAAAGCGUUGCGGGUUCCAGCGGGGUCUGGUGAGCUCUCGCUGGCCCUUGAAAAUCUGGGGGAGAGGGUGUAAAUCUC
rnacentral:ncRNA from 1 species